UACGGAGGAUGCAAGCGUUAUCCGGGAUUAUUGGGCGUAAAGCGUCCGCAGGUGGCUCAUCAAGUCUGUUGUCAAAGCGCGGAGCUCAACUCCGUAAAGGCGAUGGAAACUGAUAGGCUAGAGUUAGGUAGGGGUAAGAGGAAUUCCCAGUGUAGCGGUGAAAUGCGUAGAUAUUGGGAAGAACACCGGCGGCGAAAGCGUCUUACUGGGCCUGUACUGACACUGAGGGACGAAAGCUAGGGGAGCGAAAGGG
rnacentral:rRNA from 1 species